rnacentral:rRNA from 1 species
ACUGCUCAGUAACACGUGGACAACCUGCCCUUAGGUUGGGUAUAAACCCGGGAAACUGGGUAUAAUACCCGAUAGGUCUCGAUUGCUGGAAUGCAUCGAGAUUUAAAGCUCCGGCGCCUAAGGAUGGGUCUGCGGCCUAUCAGGUAGUAGUGGGUGUAGCGUACCUACUAGCCUACGACGGGUACGGGUUGUGAGAGCAAGAGCCCGGAGAUGGAUUCUGAGACACGAAUCCAGGCCCUACGGGGUGCAGCAGGCGCGAAAACUUUACAAUGCUGGCAACAGCGAUAAGGGAACCUCGAGUGCCAGGUUACAAAUCUGGCUGUCGAGAUGCCUAAAAAGCAUUUCAUAGCAAGGGCCGGGCAAGACCGGUGCCAGCCGCCGCGGUAACACCGGCGGCUCGAGUGGUAACCGUUAUUAUUGGGUCUAAAGGGUCUGUAGCCGGCCGGAUAAGUCUCUUGAGACAUCUGGCAGCUUAACUGUCAGGCUUUCAGGAGAUACUGUCUGGCUCGAGGCCGGGAGAGGUGAGAGGUACUUCAGGGGUAGGGGUGAAAUCUUGUAAUCCUUGAAGGACCACCAGUGGCGAAGGCGUCUCACCAGAACGGACCUGACGGCAAGGGACGAAAGCUAGGGGCACGAACCGGAUUAGAUACCCGGGUAGUCCUAGCCGUAAACGAUACUCGCUAGGUGUCGGCCACGGUGCGACCGUUGUCGGUGCCGUAGGGAAGCCGUGAAGCGAGCCACCUGGGAAGUACGGCCGCAAGGCUGAAACUUAAAGGAAUUGGCGGGGGAGCAC